UCUUAUCCCGAGCUGGCGGAGGGACAGGCCCAAUGAAACCCGGCAACCAUCACUUUUUUACAUAUCAGAUGAUUUUUUAGUGAAACCUAUACAUAUAUAGGUCUCUCAUUCGGAUAAAAGUGAUAAGGUGCUAACCUGAGCAAGGUAUGACCUUGAUCGAUAAGA
rnacentral:ncRNA from 1 species